UACGGAGGAUCCAAGCGUUAUCCGGAUUUAUUGGGUUAAAGGGUGCGUAGGCGGCCUAUUAAGUCAGGGUGAAAGACGGUAGCUUAACUAUCGCAGUGCCUUUGAUACUGAUGGGCUUGAAUGAACUAGAGGUAGGCGGAAUGUGACAAGUAGCGGUGAAAUGCAUAGAUAUGUCACAGAACACCAAUUGCGAAGGCAGCUUACUAUGGUUUUAUUACGCUGAGGCACGAAAGCUGGGGAUCAAACAGG
rnacentral:rRNA from 1 species